ACUAUAGCGAUCGAUAUCGCCAGUCCUAGCAGAACAAGGCAACGUUUCGAUUGUGAUCUGAAAAAAGAAACAAUAUAUUAUUCUUCCGCACUAGUUCCAAUUAUCUACCAGAAACUACCCUCAAUGGCUCAAUAUUAAAGAUUGAAGCAUUUUUAAGAUUUUAGUACAUUCACUGUCCAACCAAAUGUUUCGUUUGGAAAUUUGGCAGAAUCUGGUGAAACUUUGUUCAGCUGUUUCAAACAAACCUGAUCUACUCU